CAUGAGCGCAUGUCCAUUCCAAACCCCUUUUAUUUGCUUUCAUCUUAUAAGUUUUUACUAUUUCAUGUUGUGUCAAUAUGGGAGUGUAUCACCGCUCACCAAAAUCAUGUC